GCAGUGAUGGUUCAGUGGUAGAAUUCUCACCUUUCACGUGGGAGACCCAGGUUCAAUUCCUGGCCAGUACA